rnacentral:misc_RNA from 1 species
AAAGUCGUAACAAGGUCUCCGUUGGUGAACCAGCGGAGGGAUCAUUACCGAGUUUAAUACACUCAAACCCAUCGCGGACCCGAAACUGUUGCUUCGGCGGGCUGCCUGCCUGGCGGGCGCCCGCCAGAGGUUUAAGCUCUUUGGCUCUUGGACUCUAGUCAUCUGAAUUACGCUUCUAAACUAGUCAAAACUUUCAACAACGGAUCUCUUGGUUCUG